GAAUUAGGUAGCAAACUGAAGAAAAACUCCACCCAGGUAGUAUUUUCAGCUAUAUUACCUGUGCCACCCGCUACAGUGGAAAGGCAGCGUGAGAUUAGAGAGGUCAAUGUGUGGCUGAAGUCUUGGUGCAGGAAGGAGGGUUUUGGGUUUUUAGAGCACUGGGCUAACUUUGCGCUUGGGUACAACCUGUAUAGUCGUGGUGGAUUGCACCUAAACGGAAGAGGGUCUGCUAUACUAGGG